GCACGGUGUAAAAUAUCUCAUUUAUUUCACAUAAUUAAUUAACGACAUAUCGCAGCCACCUUCUGAGGCACUAACCAACAGCUAUGGCACCAAUUUUGGUCCAAACACGUUGGCAAUUACCCAAGUGACGACAGGUUGUAGCUCGAUAUAUGCGAGUACGUACAAUCAAUACUGUAUACAGUACAUUAAUACAUGGGGAAAAAGAAAAAAUCUGGACAGAGGAGAGAGCUAUAAGCUGAAAUGAGCUUCAUCCUUAUUCUCUUGAAGUAUAAAGUCUUCAUUUUCUCUUUGUUUUCCAUUAUUUUUGGACAGGCACCUCGUCUGUCACUUAGUCGACUACACAUUGAAUCAUAACUAUCGCCCAGGCCCAUCCAUGUGUAAUGGUAACUACGAAUAAGGCUGCAUAUGUUUCAUUAGAUCUGAAUCUGCAUCCAAAAUAAUGAUAAGCCUGAUAAAAUCCUUUGCUCACAUUUGACUUGGGACAACUAAACUAUUUAUCGAUAAACACAAGAUUAGUGCAUCAGGAGUCGGGAAAAAAAGAAAUAAAAGAUAAAUCAUGCUUGGUGUACAUCAUAG
rnacentral:lncRNA from 1 species